AUAAAAGCUACCCCGGGGAUAACAGGCUUAUCUUGCCCAAGAGUUCACAUCGACGGCAAGGUUUGGCACCUCGAUGUCGGCUCGUCGCAUCCUGGGGCUGAAGCAGGUCCCAAGGGUCCGGCUGUUCGCCGGUUAAAGCGGUACGCGAGCUGGGUUCAGACCGUCGUGAGACAGGUCGGUCUCUAUCCGUCGUGGGCGUCCGGAGAUUUGAGGGAAGCUCUCUCUAGUACGAGAGGACCGAGAGGGACAGACCGCUGGUGUGCCAGUUGUUCCGCCAGGGGCAUCGCUGGGUAGCUAUGUCUGGUGGGGAUAAGCGCUGAAAGCAUCUAAGUGCGAAGCCCAUCCCAAGAUAAGAUCUCCCAUCCCGGUUCGCCGGGAGUAAGACCGCAAGUAGACUACUUGUUUGAUAGGCGGCCGGUGUAAGCGCAGUAAUGCGUUUAGCUUAGCCGUACUAAUGGUCGAGGGCUUGACCUG
rnacentral:rRNA from 1 species